rnacentral:rRNA from 1 species
UACGAAGGGGGCUAGCGUUGUUCGGAAUCACUGGGCGUAAAGGGCGCGUAGGCGGCUUUAUAAGUCGGGGGUGAAAGCCUGUGGCUCAACCACAGAAUUGCCUUCGAUACUGUAGAGCUUGAGACUGGAAGAGGUAAGUGGAACUGCGAGUGUAGAGGUGAGAUUCGUAGAUAUUCGCAAGAACACCAGUGGCGAAGGCGGCUUACUGGUCCGGUUCUGACGCUGAGGCGCGAAAGCGUGGGGAGCAAACAGG